UGGGGAUAUUGCGCAAUGGACGAAAGCCUGACGCAGCAACGCCGCGUGCGGGAAGAAGGCCCUAGGGUUGUAAACCGCUUUCAGUAGGGAAGAAAAUGACGGUACCUACAGAAGAAGGUGCGGCCAACUACGUGCCAGCAGCCGCGGUGACACGUAGGCACCAAGCGUUAUCCGGAUUUAUUGGGCGUAAAGAGCUCGUAGGCGGUUUGGUAAGUCGGGUGUGAAAACUCUGGGCUCAACCCAGAGAGGCCACCCGAUACUGCUAUGACUAGAGUACGGUAGGGGAGCGGGGAAUUCAUGGUGUAGCGGUGAAAUGCGCAGAUAUCAUGAGGAACACCAGCGGCGAAGGCGCCGCUCUGGGCCGUAACUGACGCUGAGGAGCGAAAGCAUGGGUAGCAAACAGGAUUAGAUACCCCGGUAGUCCACGCAGUAAACGAUGUCUAUUAGAAGUUUGUGGCUAUAUGCCGUGGGUUUCAAAGCUAACGCAUUAAAUAGACCGCCUGGGGAGUACGGCCGCAAGGUUA
rnacentral:rRNA from 1 species